AAGUCAAUUCUACUUAUCGACUAUAUUUUAUCUUUUAAUCUAUCUUCUAUUUAACCAAUGAUAAUUGGAUAUGUCAUUUUUAUUUUGCAACAGUUUGUAAGUCAUUAUAUUAUAUUAUUUGAAUUUAUUUUUAAGCUUUCUUUCUCCCUGCUCCAAUUGACAAUAUAUAACGCAACUGUAAUAAUUGUACAAUAGUUUGUAAGUCAUAAUGUGCAUAAAUUUUAAAAUUUUCUUCCCCUCUGAUCAACAAUGAUUGCUUUUAUUUCACUAUAGCAAGUGAGUCAUAAUGUAUACUGUUAAAUUGUAACUUGCCUUUUGAUCUAAUCAAAAAUUUAAAAAAUAGAGAGCAGUAAGUCAAAAAUGUGUAUCAUUGCUUAAGUUUUUAACUCUUUUUUUCCAACCAUUAUUUAAAUAGCAAAGAGUAAGUCAUAAUUUUGUAUCAUGCAAAAUAUUUACUUUCUUUAUGAUUUGAUCAACACUGAACCAAUACCCAUAGUUUGUAAGUCUGAACAUAUGAUAUUAUCAUCAGUAAUAAUAUACACUUAUCUAUUUAUUUUUUCUCUACUUCAACCAUUGUAAUUCUCAGAUUGUAAGUCAAAUGUGUUUUAUUAUUUACAUUUAAUCUAUAGUCGGUUUCAGUUGAGUUUGACCACUGACCCACCCUUAUAACUUCUCUAUAAUUUAUGCUAGCAACUUGAAACUUGGUAUAGUUGCAAAACGGGUUCUUCCGAAAAUCUGUACCAAUUUUGGAGUCUCUAGGUACUCUGGAAGGUUCUCAAAAGGUUCUUUCGGUCUACAUGAAAGGGAGCCGCCAUGAUGUUUCAUGACGUGAAGCUUCGUGAAUAUCAUUUGCAUCUCAUUAAAUAUGUCAAUAAUCAUGUUUUUAUUAUUUUAAAAUCAAAUAAAGCAAAAGGAGCACUCUAGGCCAAGAUAUAAUUGAACAAGAAGACUUUGCACUCCAGAAAAAAGUCUCACUCAGUCUGCUGUACUUCUCUAAGCCUUCGUUAUUUGUCUUCAACAUUGCCGCUCAGAAACUCAGUUAAAAUUUUGCAUCUCUCGAUUCUUUCUUCAGGCAGUAAGUGAAAAUUUCAAAAUGUGUUUUAGUCAAUUUAACUUUCAUUUGAAACUAACAAACAAUAAUUACACUUCCUACAAAAUAGAGACCAUUUGUAGGUCAUACUGUGCU